rnacentral:rRNA from 1 species
CAGCAGCCGCGGUAAUACGUAGGGUGCGAGCGUUAAUCGGAUUUACUGGGCGUAAAGCGUGCGCAGGCGGCCCGUUAAGACAGGUGUGAAAUCCCUGGGCUCAACCUAGGAAUUGCGCUUGUGACUGGCGGGCUCGAGUACGGUAGAGGGGGGUGGAAUUCCUGGUGUAGCAGUGAAAUGCGUAGAGAUCAGGAGGAACACCGAUGGCGAAGGCAGCCCCCUGGGCCUGUACUGACGCUCAUGCACGAAAGCGUGGGGAGCAAACAGGAUUAGAUACCCUGGUAGUCCACGCCCUAAACGAUGGGUACUAGCCGUUUGGUGCGCGAGAGCACUGAGUGGCGAAGCUAACGCGUGAAGUACCCCGCCUGGGGAGUACGGCCGCAAGGUUGAAACUUAAAGGAAUUGGCGGG